rnacentral:lncRNA from 1 species
CAUGUGUUUCUUUGCCUAAUACGUUCUCCUAUUUAUUUGUAUUGUAGUCCUGUAAUAUUAUGUUGUCAUUUUAAUGUUAUAUUUAACAUUGCCAUUAAAGUGCGAGGUUUGGCAUGCCACAAAACCAGGUUCAACCCACCAUUUUUUUCUUUAAAAAUGUCCUGUACCAAGUCAGGAAAAUGGCCAUUGUUAUAUCAUAGUUAGUUUCUGUGUUUGUAACAUUUUUACGUUGUGUUUCCGUUGUG